rnacentral:rRNA from 1 species
ACACCUACGGGGCGCAGCAGUCGGGAAUAUUGCACAAUGGAGGAAACUCUGAUGCAGUGACACCGCGUGAGGGAAGAAGGUUUUCGGAUUGUAAACCUCUGUCCUUGGUGACGAUAAUGACGGUAGCCAAGGAGGAAGCCACGGCUAACUACGUGCCAGCAGCCGCGGUAAUACGUAGGUGGCGAGCGUUGUCCGGAAUUACUGGGUGUAAAGGGAGCGUAGGCGGGAGAGCAAGUCGACUGUGAAAUCUAUGGGCUUAACCCAUAGCUGCGAUCGAAACUGUUCAUCUUGAGUGAAGUAGAGGG